rnacentral:tRNA from 1 species
GAUUUCUUAUCUUAAAUUAAAGUAUUUAUUUUGAAAAUAAAUUAUAAAGAAAAAUCUUUAGAAAUCU